rnacentral:tRNA from 1 species
UCGGGGGUGGCGCAACUGGCGGCGCGGCCGACUUUGAAUCGGCAGGUUGAAGGUUCGAGCCCUUCCCCCCGAGCCA